rnacentral:rRNA from 1 species
AACCCUGAUGAAGAUGGGCUGUCUGAGUCGCAUGAAAAUUGUCAAAACUUUCAACAAUGGAUCUCUUGGUUCCGGCAUCGAUGAAGAACGCAGCGAAAUGCGAUAAGUAAUGUGAAUUGCAGAAUUCCGUGAAUCAUCGAAUCUUUGAACGCACAUUGCGCCCCCUGGCAUUCCGGGGGGCAUGCCUGUCCGAGCGUCAUUUCUGCCCUCAAGCGCGGCUUGUGUGUUGGGCGUGGUCCCCCCGGGGACCUGCCCGAAAGGCAGCGGCGACGUCCGUCCGGUCCUCGAGCGUAUGGGGCUCUGUCACUCGCUCGGGACGGAUCGGCGGAGGUUGGUCACCACCACAGUUUUACCACGGUUGACCUCGGAUCAGGUAGGAGUUACCCGCUGAACUUAAGCAUAU